rnacentral:rRNA from 1 species
ACAUGCCUACAACAUAGCAUUAAUGUAUUGGAUCCCAUUAUAACUCUGCAGUUAAGCGCACUCAGGCUAGAGUAGUACUGGGAUGGGUGACCACUCAGGAAGUCUUAGUAUUUUACAUGCC